CAUUGUAUAACCAUAAUCAGAUAUGUAUGCCACAUUUAAUAAGUUUUUCCACGUGGUGCAAGUAGUUAUGGUAGAUGUAAAGUUAUGUAGAAAAAAUUGUGUGGCACCCUAAAACAAUGGAAAAUUUUAAAGAUUUUCUGGAGCUUUACCAAUGUUCCGGCUCUACAAUAUUCUAUCAAUUUAGGUGUUGGAAUUUAAAUUUCUGUGUAAAAGAUGCCUAAAAAACCUGCGCCAUAUCGUAAUAUAUGAAGUGUUAACAUAUCUAAUUAUGAUGGUUUUUUACAAGAGCGUCUGAAUACUACUGGGAAAAUAUGUAUUGCAGACAAAAUGAUUAAUGUCAUUGAUUAACAAAUCGUCAAGAUCUAACAAGGCUUGCUAAUUUCCAUACCCGCAUAUGACGCAGUGUACGUCAUAGAGAGACUGGAUAAAAUAGUCAAAUUCUGAGUAAUCGGAGGCGUCAUAGUCUGAUGGCAAGAUUUGUGAUGACAGAAUAUGAGAUGUGCACGGAAUAGUUACAAAAAGUGGAAAAACUUCAACAUAUACAUAUUAUAAAGCUUUAUUUUAACUUUGAAGGGUGAAAUCGCAGAAAAAUACCUCGAAAGUCAAAUACAUUAAAAGAAUAUGUAUGGCAACUAAGGAACUUUGUAUCUCAUUAGCCCUAUGCGAGAGAAAGCUAUAUUUAAUGUCUAGUCGAUCAUAAUAAAAAUCUGUGUAAUUAAUGUAAGAUUUCAACAUUGUUUACUACCAGGGAAUAGACCUGAAAAGUCCGUUAAGCGUUAAAUAAAAUUUUGAUUUUUUAAUAA
rnacentral:lncRNA from 1 species